CCAUCGAUGCUACGCUGUUGACGUUUCGUGUGGGUUGGUGAUAUGGAGCACGUGAUCAAUAUGAUAAGGUGCCUUAUUCCUCUUUUCUUGUGAUAUAAGUAACCAUUCUAAUCAAAAACCCUAUAUUUAAUUAUAAACCCAGGGUUACGGUCGUUACACUCGUGUUCAUCGUUUUUUGCUUUGCGAUUUACUUUAAUGUUUUGGGGUUUUGUUUGUAAAUUGCAGUCGAGAUGACAGUUGCCGAGGAAUUAUCGCGAAAUAUGAGAGAAAUGAAUCAAGACAGUUUGUGACGGAGAUGAGGGAAACGCUAUUUAGUUUGGGCUAAGCCCAUUAUCAUGAAACGAGAAACUUCAACGAUUCAACGG
rnacentral:lncRNA from 1 species